GUGUAGGAAGAGGAGAGCUGGCUUAGCAGAGGCCGGGGUCCAAAUCUCCGGGGAGCUUUAGCCGAGUGAGCACCCAUUACGGGCCAGCUCUGUGCCACGGCUGUCGGCAGAGCUAAUGAAUCCAUCCUAAGCUGUGCUCCCGUCAGCUUUGAUUCCUCAUCAAAGCGAGAGGUUUUCAGUGCAGGAGAAGCUGGUUUCCUUCAUCACAGAGCUAAUAUGCACCUGGCCUAGCAGAGCGAGAAACUGACGGGAGAGAUGCGGCAGAAGCUGGGGGAGCCGCCUGCUUGGCUGUUGCCUCACGUGGACGAGGGGGACCAGUGGAUAAGCGGCGUCAGCACCUGCUGCCCGGCAGCGGCUUUCUGAGAGUAAAACAAAAACCGUCUCUGCUUCACUUCUGCCUUCCAAGUCUCCUGUAAAACAUCUCUUGUGGUCACACUAACCCAGAACUAUGCAGGGAAGGGGAUGGUGGGAAACAGACGUCCAGUCCAGCUGAAUCGACAACUCACACAUAACGACAAAUGUGUGACAUUUGACAAAUCCCCAGUCAGCGUAAGUGAAGUCAAGGCUGUGGGUGAGAUGACUCAGCGAUUGUGUGGAGCCAGAAAAUACCGUUAUUGAAAGGGUGGGCCGAGGGUAGGAAUCUACUGUGGAGAAGGAGAAGGAGAAGAAGUCAGCGAGAAAUUGUGGGAGGCAGAGCUGAGUUGCUGGGUAUGAAUGUUUCUGAGGAUGGGAGUACAUAAAUAAUGACGGUGACAAAGAAGACGAUGAGAGCCAGGCAUGAUAUUGAAUUUAAUGACUGGUAUCUACGGCACUGACCAAUCAGGAUGGAUACUGGACAGUGAAGAGGUCCCCAGGGUCCUGAGGGAAGGUACCACACCAUCAUGUGAUGCUGGACACUGGGUGCACAGGGACAUUGGGGAAGCAGGUAUUUAACAUCCCGUAUGGGAGUUUCCCACAUUUUGACAAAUUUUAUGCUGUCUUGGUGCAUAUUCGCUGAAUAUCAGCCCUGCUGGUUGCUAACACUGUGUGCCUACUGUGUGCUCAGCGAAGCACCAUGAGUCUGUGUGGUGGUGGUGCCUCUGGAAUGCUUUGCCCCUCCUGACUGGCUGGGGGCGGGAUGUUGGGACAGUGGUGGGCAGGUGGGGAUCAGAAUCUUGGAUCCUGGAAGGGCAAAUCGUCAGGCCUAUCUUCAGCAAACAUCUGUUGCCAGGUAUGCACCACUUUCACAGGAGGAUGUAUUUUGGGGAGGUUUUAUAGGCCCUGGUCCACGUGGGGGAGAACAUUUAAACCGGCAGCACCUGUUAAUGAGCGCCAUGCUGCUAAUUAGGACAGCCUGGAGAGGAGCAGCUGUGGUGGUUUGGAAUGACAAAGACCGUGACAUCUAACUGUUGGAGUCCUGUGGGGUCUAUCUCUGUGGGACACAUUCUGAACUACUAGGACCCAUGAAGACUCGUGGAGCCUUAAACUUGGAAGUUCUUGUCCUGAAUGAUCUGAUGUGAUUGGUCACCCAGAUCAAACACCAGAAGGUUUCCAAGGUGCCAUUUUGAUUGGCAGUUUGUGGAUACAGCUUUGGGAACAAUGCCUGAAAGGUCUGUGUGCUCAGAAGUAACCCGGAGGUCACUUACCUUGCCUUCGUCCCCUUCCCUGCAGCGUGAGGGGUACUGUUCUCCACUCGACCUCUACCUGCGGACACUGGCCAUCGGAUUUAGGGCCCACCAAAGUGACUCAACCAACCGCAGAGCCCUUGCUGAACUCCAGCCAAGUCUCAUCCCUGUCCAGCUGCCCCAGAAGCUGGGCCUUGUCCCCAGGACGCCGGAAUGCUUGCUGGCACCCUGCUCCAGCUUCUGACCUCAGGAUGUUGAAUGGGACUUCAUCUGUUUUCUUGGAAUUGGAAGUAAAACCCAGAGUUGAAAUCAAUAGGUGCUAUGUGUUCCCACGUUUCCAGACGAGACCACCUGAUGCGUCCCCGUGAGGGCACCAUUCACACACUACUGGGCUACAAAAGCAGGAGGAGAGAGUGCCCCUCUUCUUCCUGUGCUGAGCGGUGUUAGCAGCCAACCUCAAGAGAGCACGCGGUGGAAUAGAAACUUCUGGCCUCACUUCAAGGCUCCGCUGUUCCAUCCCAGCCACCCUUCCACAGGGCGUGCACCUGCACUUCCGGGAGAGCUGAACCGGGGGACACUUCUGACUGGCGGACACCAGGCUGUCCUCAGAAUGGCCCCGUGGCCUGCUGACUAAGAGUCAUCUGGCAGAUCUGAUUAAUUUUGGAAAUGAACAAUGUGAAGAUUCAUCACAAACUUUCAGGACUUCCUGGCCUGUGAUUUUCCCCAAGACACUGAGCAUGGUCCAUGUGAGCACAGCCGGCAGCCAUGACAACCAGACACACUCCCAUGGACCGGAUCUGUUUGCUAGCCCAGCACUACGAGGUCAAAGGCCCAUGUAGGCUCUUGCAGCGCAUUGAUUGAGACCUACUCCAGGCCCCCACAUGCUGGUAGGAGGGACUGAGGCUACGGGAGGAGGCCUGAGUCUUGAUGACCCUAGAGGAAUGGACAGGAGGAACCAAGGCUGAUGACAUCCUCCAGGGACUCCAGCCGUGGGUGAGGGGCCCUCUCUCCUUCUCCUCUCUCUCUCACAUCGAUGAAAGGAAUCAUGAAAUGGGAAAGCGCGAGCCCAUCAGUUAGCAAAGCACCAAGGAAAGACACGGUUCCUGUCUGUGGAUGGAGAGAGAUGGGCCGAGGCCAGAGCCGGGCGGCAGGACUGGGUGCCUCGUGGGAUCAGGAGCUAGAGAACUCCCUUGGAUCUCUUGCCUGUAAUUGGAAAGAAAUGGUGAGACGAAAAGGGCUCUGAUUUCCAAUAGCCUCUGCUUCACAAGGAUCAUAUUAAAUACCAUUAAAUGAUGGCAGCCUUGUUCCUAUAAAACAACUUUUGGAGAGUGGGCAGAAAUAACUUUCCUCUUUGGGCACACACAGACCCUGGCUUGCUUGGCCCUCUGGGGCUCAUCUCUAUGUACGGCAAUGGCUCCUGGCCUUCUUCACCAGCUGGCUGAUCCUUUCCAUGUGCCAUGGUGCCAGUUUGCAGGCAGAAUGUAAUUGGCCCAGCUCAGCUUCUUGUGUUGUCAUCAAUUGCUGACCAGCCUCUGGACACCUGCCCUCAGGUCAGGUUAGAUCGGCUAUGGAGGGGGGAAGCAUGGGGUAUAAGAGGGGUCACUGCUGGGGCUGGGGCUGGGACAGUUUUCCUUAAGGAUGUGGACACAGAGGGCCAUGAUGAACAUCCCAGGUCCUUAUGCAGAGUCCCCGUCACCAGCUCAGGGCCCACCCCUCUCCCAGCGGAGGCCGGGACAGCUGGGACUGCCCCACAGGCAGGACUUGCCGGGCAAGGUGGGCGUGAGUGGAGGCAGCCUUUUGGGACCUGGGGUCUGCUCAUCUCCCUCCUCUGCUCUCCUGUUAUGGGUUGAAUUGUGCCCCCCCACACACUCAUAUGUUGAAGUCCUGACCUCCCAUACCUCAGAAUUGACCUUGUUUGGAGAUGGGGUCUUUACAGAGGUCCUGAAGCUAAAAUAAGGUCAUUAGGAUGGGCCCUAAUGCAA